AGAGUUUGAUCCUGGCUCAGGACGAACGCUGGCGGCGUGCUUAACACAUGCAAGUCGAACGAGACGAUUGAAAGCUUGCUUUUGAAAGUCGAGUGGCAAACGGGUGAGUAACGCGUAGACAACCUGCCGUAAAGAUGGGGACAACAGUCCGAAAGGACUGCUAAUACCGAAUGUUGUAAAUCUUCCACAUGGAAGACUUACUAAAGGUGGCCUCUACUUGUAAGCUAUCGCUUUACGAUGGGUCUGCGUCUGAUUAGCUGGUUGGUGGGGUAACGGCCUACCAAGGCGACGAUCAGUAGCCGGUCUGAGAGGAUGAACGGCCACAUUGGAACUGAGACACGGUCCAGACUCCUACGGGAGGCAGCAGUGGGGAGUCUUCCGCAAUGGGCGCAAGCCUGACGGAGCAACGCCGCGUGAGUGAAGAAGGGUUUCGACUCGUAAAGCUCUGUUGUCGGGGACGAACGUGGAGACGGCGAAUAGCCGUUUCCAAUGACGGUACCUGACGAGGAAGCCACGGCUAACUACGUGCCAGCAGCCGCGGUAAUACGUAGAUGGCGAGCGUUGUCCGGAAUUAUUGGGCGUAAAGGGAGCGCAGGCGGGAAGGUAAGUCUAUCUUAAAGUGCGGGGCUCAACCCCGUGAGGGGAUGGAAACUAUCUUUCUUGAGUGCAGGAGAGGAAAGCGGAAUUCCUAGUGUAGCGGUGAAAUGCGUAGAUAUUAGGAGGAACACCAGUGGCGAAGGCGGCUUUCUGGACUGUAACUGACGCUGAGGCUCGAAAGCGUGGGGAGCGAACAGGAUUAGAUACCCUGGUAGUCCACGCCGUAAACGAUGAAUGCUAGGUGUAGGAGGUAUCGACCCCUUCUGUACCGGAGUUAACGCAAUAAGCAUUCCGCCUGGGGAGUACGGCCGCAAGGCUGAAACUCAAAGGAAUUGACGGGGGCCCGCACAAGCGGUGGAGUAUGUGGUUUAAUUCGACGCAACGCGAAGAACCUUACCAGGGCUUGACAUUGAGUGAAAGGACAAGAGAUUGUCCCCUCUCUUCGGAGACACGAAAACAGGUGGUGCAUGGCUGUCGUCAGCUCGUGUCGUGAGAUGUUGGGUUAAGUCCCGCAACGAGCGCAACCCCUAUUCUUUGUUGCCAGCACGUUAUGGUGGGAACUCAAAGGAGACUGCCGCGGACAACGCGGAGGAAGGCGGGGAUGACGUCAAGUCAUCAUGCCCCUUA
rnacentral:rRNA from 1 species